rnacentral:lncRNA from 1 species
GUGAUGGAGAAGGUUCUGACUCAGCUCAUUGGUCUGAAUAAAGAUUUUCUACACAUAUGAGGUGAGAAAACGGACGGCCCGAAAGUGUAAAUCAUUUGCUCAAGAUCACACGUGUAAAUGGAAGAGCUGAGAUGGGACCUGAGGUCCUCUGACUGAAAUCUCGCGCUUUUUCCUUUGCCCAACCACGCCUUGCUUUUUUUUUUUUUAAUCCUCUCCUUUCAGCUUCAAUUGUCAGCCCCGGGAGCCAAGUACUAUUAUUAGUCACAUUUAACAGCUGAGGAAACUGAAGCCAACAGAGGUGAAGUGACUUGCCCAGGAUCACACAGGU